rnacentral:rRNA from 1 species
GACGAACGCUGGCGGCGUGCCUAAUACAUGCAAGUUGAGCGCUGAAGGUUGGUACUUGUACCAACUGGAUGAGCAGCGAACGGGUGAGUAACGCGUGGGGAAUCUGCCUUUGAGCGGGGGACAACAUUUGGAAACGAAUGCUAAUACCGCAUAAAAACUUUAAACACAAGUUUUAAGUUUGAAAGAUGCAAUUGCAUCACUCAAAGAUGAUCCCGCGUUGUAUUAGCUAGUUGGUGAGGUAAAGGCUCACCAAGGCGAUGAUACAUAGCCGACCUGAGAGGGUGAUCGGCCACAUUGGGACUGAGACCCGGCCCAAACUCCUACGGGAGGCAGCAGUAGGGAAUCUUCGGCAAUGGACGAAAGUCUGACCGAGCAACGCCGCGUGAGUGAAGAAGGUUUUCGGAUCGUAAAACUCUGUUGGUAGAGAAGAACGUUGGUGAGAGUGGAAAGCUCAUCAAGUGACGGUAACUACCCAGAAAGGGACGGCUAACUACGUG